GGUGGAUAAUUUAUGCAAACUUUAGGGGUAAUUUCCAAGACGGACGAUCAUAAACCGAAUUUGCUUUAUUAUUAGGGAGAGAAAAGUCUCUCCUGUUUGUUUCACAUGAGACUAAAAGGAAUUUUUUUUAGUCCCUACAUCGAAAAGUCUCUCGGAACAAACACCCCCUAACUCCCAUCAAGUGCUGGGUGGCAAACGACCAUAGCUGUCUGCGUCCAGUAGCUUGCAGGUUUUACUCAGGCCGACGCAAUUGCAGUUGCAGAGGAGACGGACGGGGGCUCGCUGGCUGGCAGGCAACAAUUACUUCUAGGUUGUGCCUCCGCUCCGCUCCCACGUGAAAGGAAAUCACGGGCCUCGAAAGAUAGUAAUUUCAAUGUAAGAACUUCUUCCAAGUCAUAACGUUCUGGUACCAUCCAUCCAUCGUGUACAAGAUUCACUGCACCGCACCUGUGGAGCCUCCAUAGUCCAUUCCAUGGAGUAAAUAAAUGGCACCACAGCUACCAGCGGCCCUAAUUGACUGACUAGUAGUCAUUCAACAUUCAUCCGUUUCAUUCAUUAAGCCAUGGCGUGAAUGCCCCAUCAGUGCUUAUCAUCACACCAUGCUUGUUGUAGCUCGUAUCGUACUGCCGGCGUAACUCGUGUGCCGCAACGUGUUCUCGCAUGCGUGCAUGCAUGUGAUCGCCCGUCGUGCAUGCCACUACCCACCCGUUCAAUGUUGCAUUUCAUCGAUCGAGCAUGACGACCAGUACAUACACCAGUGGUAAACAGCAAUCGAACAAAGUCACUAGACUUGGAUGCUGGUUCAUAAUUUACUAGAGUAUUCUCUAGAAGUACUGGAAGGUUAAAAUAGGUGCUUCGAUUUUGAUAUUUUUCAGUUUGUUUCAUAAAUGUUCAGUUCAGAUGCUGAUAACUUUCCAGGUUCUUUCAAAGCUAUUUGGUUCAGAUUCUGAUAUUUUGUGUGUGCAGUAUGCAAAAUCAUAUGAUUCGUACUCAGGUUGGGGGAGGCAUGGUGGGCAUUGGUGUUCUGGCGCAAGUUGCCACGGCCCGGAAGAGGAGAUGUCAUCAUGUCGAGCUCACGAGAUAGGGCAGCCACCACUGCCGCCUCCCGCAACGACAAAGAAAAGGUGAGGAUGCUUGACUGUCAAAACUGAAAUUUGAGAUUUGCUUGUGUAAUUGAGAAGCUGAGAUCUGCUUGUAAACAUAGGGUGAAGAUCUUGGCUAUUAUUGUGAAGUACAUAAGGUGAUGAGCUUACUCGGUGCUUUCCCUUCUUUACGCACAUCAUGUUUCGUCGCGAGCACGAUGACAAAGAAGUUAGAAGAAGCAAGGCAUGCAUGAUCUAGGCAUGCAUGCACACUCUCAUAUCUGUUCUUUGUUCUUUAGGACAUUGUUUUAGUGCCGAAUUUUCUUGGAAUUUGGAUGUAGUGCUAAUUUUGCGGAGAAUUUGAUGUAUACUUUACAUGCUAAGAAAAUUCAAAUGCUGGGAGUUAUGUACAUAUUCUUAGAAUACUAUUCUAAUUGGAAAAUAUGUUGUCAUUGAAUCUAGACUGGUUGUAUGUUGAUGAUAUAAAUUUUAUUUUGGUAAAAAUAGG
rnacentral:lncRNA from 1 species